rnacentral:rRNA from 1 species
CAUGGUCGUUCUUAGUUCGUGGAUUGAUUUGUCUGGUCUAUUCCGAUAACGAGCGAGACCCGACGUUCCUAAUAGGGCGGCAGCCCGGCUUACCCCUCACGGGGUCUGCUAGCAGCGCUUAGAAUUACUUCUUUAGACGUAUCAGAGCCGAUAAGGUUCUUGAAAUGGGUUAAUAACAGGUCAGUCAUGCCCUUAGAUGUUCUGGGCCGCACGCGCGUUACAAUGGUAUACAUAGAAUGUGCCUUUAUGGGCGUCUCCGCAGCCGACAGGUUGUGGUAACCCCUAAUCUCUCCCUUGACUGGGACAGACUAUUGCAAUUAUUGGUCUCCAACGAGGAAUUUUUAGUAGUCGCAGGUCAUUAACCUGCGACGAAUGCGUCCCUGCCCUUUGUACACACCGCCCGUCGCUGCUACCGAUUGGGUUUUGCGGUUACGAGUUCAGAGGUGGGGGUUUUAUUGCCUUCUUCACGGGAGGUGGUGACCACCGCCGAAGUUCUAAUUACCGCACGGCCUAGAGGAAGCAGAAGUCGUAACAAGGUAAGCGUAGAUGA